UACGGUAGGGUGCAAGCGUUAAUCGGAAUACUGGGCGUAAAGCGUGCGCAGGCGGUUAUGUAAGACAGGGUGUAGAAAUCCCCGGGCCUUAACCUGGGAACUGCAUUUGUGACUGCAUAGCUAGAGUACGGUAGAGGGGGAUGGAAUUCCGCGUGUAGCAGUGAAAUGCGUAGAUAUGCGGAGGAACACCGAUGGCGAAGGCAAUCCCCUGGACCUGUACUGACGGCUCAUGCACGAA
rnacentral:rRNA from 1 species